UACGUAGGGUGCAGGCGUUAAUCGGAAUUACUGGGCGUAAAGCGUGCGCAGGCGGCUCCUUAAGUCAGAUGUGAAAUCCCCGGGCUUAACCUGGGAACUGCGUUUGAAACUGGGGGGCUUGAGUGUGGAAGAGGGGGGUGGAAUUCCAGGUGUAGCAGUGAAAUGCGUAGAGAUCUGGAGGAACACCGAUGGCGAAGGCAGCCCCCUGGGCUAACACUGACGCUCAUGCACGAAAGCGUGGGGAGCAAACAGG
rnacentral:rRNA from 1 species